rnacentral:piRNA from 1 species
UCGAAGUGCAGGAGCUUCCACCCCCAUA